UGGGGAAUCUUGCGCAAUGGGCGAAAGCCUGACGCAGCCAUGCCGCGUGAAUGAUGAAGGUCUUAGGAUUGUAAAAUUCUUUCACCGGGGACGAUAAUGACGGUACCCGGAGAAGAAGCCCCGGCUAACUUCGUGCCAGCAGCCGCGGUAAUACGAAGGGGGGCUAGCGUUGCUCGGAAUUACUGGGCGUAAAGGGAGCGUAGGCGGACAUUUAAGUCAGGGGUGAAAUCCCGGGGCUCAACCUCGGAAUUGCCUUUGAUACUGGGUGUCUUGAGUGUGAGAGAGGUAUGUGGAACUCCGAGUGUAGAGGUGAAAUUCGUAGAUAUUCGGAAGAACACCAGUGGCGAAGGCGACAUACUGGCUCAUUACUGACGCUGAGGCUCGAAAGCGUGGGGAGCAAACAGGAUUAGAU
rnacentral:rRNA from 1 species